rnacentral:lncRNA from 1 species
ACACUCCCUCAUUCUCUUCAACGUAACACUCAACACACAACACAACACCCCCCCAAAGGUAUUAUUAGUCUUUUUGUUCUUCUUUUUACGUACCGUUUUAGGUCCAUCCUAAGUUGACAUCUAUAUAUAAAAUAUACUGUUAUUUUUACCGCAUGUUUUACUCGUGCUUUCUUUCUUUUUUACUUCGAAUACUUGAAGAUAUAUGAAUUUUUAGGAAACUAUAUGGAGAGUUCUUAUUGUUGUUAUAUAUAUAUAUGUAUGCAAUAAAUAUUUCGUUAAUCCAAACUAUUACUUUGC